UGGGGAAUAUUGCACAAUGGGCGCAAGCCUGAUGCAGCCAUGCCGCGUGUGUGAAGAAGGCCUUCGGGUUGUAAAGCACUUUCAGCGAGGAGGAAGGGUAGUGUGUUAAUAGCACAUUGCAUUGACGUUACUCGCAGAAGAAGCACCGGCUAACUCCGUGCCAGCAGCCGCGGUAAUACGGAGGGUGCAAGCGUUAAUCGGAAUUACUGGGCGUAAAGCGCACGCAGGCGGUUUGUUAAGUCAGAUGUGAAAUCCCCGCGCUUAACGUGGGAACUGCAUUUGAAACUGGCAAGCUAGAGUCUUGUAGAGGGGGGUAGAAUUCCAGGUGUAGCGGUGAAAUGCGUAGAGAUCUGGAGGAAUACCGGUGGCGAAGGCGGCCCCCUGGACAAAGACUGACGCUCAGGUGCGAAAGCGUGGGGAGUAAACA
rnacentral:rRNA from 1 species